CCAGGAAGGUUCCAGAGCGCCGGCGGGAGCGGUCCUCGGAGGAUGUGCAGGCACACACGAGGGCUUAAAGCUGGCGCCGUGGAGGGGUUGGUGGUUGGAAAACGGAGCGCCAGAUACAUAUUCGUGCUAACGGCUUACACGACCUUUCUCUGGCCGGUUUCCAGUUCCUCCUGGUAUAGCGAUCUCUGAAGCCAAAAGUGGAUGAUUCUUUUGCUGAAGUUCUUGGUAUUCUCAUCCCCAUCAUUGCUUUAAGUGAAUCUUAACAAUAAACUAGCAUAAUGCGUAAGAGAUUUAUCUUUUUUUGUUUGUUUGUUUAUCAGGGCUUUCAAAAUUGCGUUUGAGAUGCUAAAUUUACAGGGAUUCCAAAAUCCUUCACUGUUUUGUUUUUUUCCCUUUUCCUGUUUUAGGGGCAGAGCACAAAGGUCCCGCCACGCGCUCCCCCUUCCCCCCAUAAAUUGUUCAGUGGAGUUUUCCACCCUCUCUUCCUGCCCCACCCUCCUUACUUCUCUUACUGUGUACUAGAAGUCACUAUUCUGUACACGGUAGUUUCAAACUUAGGACCCCCUGUCUAAUCCUCUCAAAUUCUGUGAACACAGGCAUGCAUAGCCACACCCACCCACCUCACCUUAUCUUCGGAUCACAUUUCACAGCCUCUAAAUGGAGGUUAUUCAAUCAAAACACGCUCUAGUCUUCCUAGAAUAGGAACAUGUAAAUUCCACAGCUCGAUGACAAAGAUGCUAAUGAUAUCUGAUGAAAAUUAGACAGCACCAUGAAAGAUUAACAGGAAAACGUUCCGUGGUUUUUAAAAACAAAUGCAAUUGUCUUUGUGCUGCAGUUAUGCAUUAUUUGUAGAUAGAUUCUAAAUAUUAAGAGUGCCGAUAUUACCGGCACUCCGAGACUUGCAAUCAGAGAUCUGGCUUUACAGAGCACUUGUUAACCUGUCUCCAAAGAGAGGCUCUUCACGCUUUGCUAAAGGGACUUGCAAGAGCACAGUAUUGGGAAUUCUUUUUUUGCUUUGGACAAAUCUCCCCACUUUUUAAAAUCCUUAUCCUAGUGAUCCCAAUGCUGUGAGAAACUUAAAGAAUCCGAGACUAUGUGUUCUCACCGCAAAAGGAAGAAAAGGAACCAGAAGAAGAAGAGACACACAACAAAGGGAGGCUAUAGAGAAAAGAAUGAAGCCAGGAGUGGUGGUGAAUGCCUGUAAUCUCAGCACGGAGGAGUCAGUGGCAGAAGGACCAAAAGUUAAAAACCAACUGUGUGAUGAGUUUCAGGACUGUCUGGGCUACAUAACGCUCUUAUCUGAUUUUUUUGUUUGUUUGUUUUUAAGGAAAAGAGUGAAUUACAUUUAAGCUCACAGAAAUAAUAUACUUGGAAAUAUGACAUGUUACUGUAUUCCUUUGGCUACUGACAUAGGUUUCUAAUGUUUUAAGUACAGACAUAUAUUAUUUUGUAAAACCAUUAAAUCCAUUGCAAUUCUA